GGAAGUUAAGAAACUGUUUAUUAACUUUUAACUAAAAAAUUAAGAACUGGUUUUAAAUAAGGAUUUUAAAAACCGGUUUUUAGUUUUUUUAGUUAAAAAUUAAGAAAUAGUUUCUUAACUUCC
rnacentral:pre_miRNA from 1 species